rnacentral:rRNA from 1 species
UGAGUAACGCGUGAGUAACCUGCCUUUCAGAGGGGGAUAACGUUCUGAAAAGAAACGCUAAUACCGCAUGAGACUACAGAGCUGCAUGGCUCAGUGGUCAAAGGAGCAAUCCGCUGAAAGAUGGACUCGCGUCCGAUUAGAUAGUAGGCGGGGUAACGGCCCACCUAGUCGACGAUCGGUAGCCGGACUGAGAGGUUGAACGGCCACAUUGGGACUGAGACACGGCCCAGACUCCUACGGGAGGCAGCAUG